GUCCACGCCGUAACGAUGGUCACUAGGUGUAUGGGUAUCGACCCUCAUGUGCCGCAGCUAACGCAAUAAGUGACCCGCCUGGGAGUACGGCCGCAAGGUUGAACUCAAAGGAAUUGACGGGCCCGCACAAGCGGUGGAGCAUGUGGAUUAAUACGUCACUAACCGUAGAACCUUACCCAGGCUUGACAUCCCCGGAAGCCCUCUGAAAGGAGGGUGUGCCUCGCAAGAGGAGCCGGGAGACAGGUGUUGCAUGGCUGUCGU
rnacentral:rRNA from 1 species